UACGUAGGGUGCGAGCGUUGUCCGGAAUUACUGGGCGUAAAGAGCUCGUAGGUGGUUUGUCGCGUUGUUCGUGAAAACCGGGGGCUUAACCCUCGGCGUGCGGGCGAUACGGGCAGACUUGAGUACUGCAGGGGAGACUGGAAUUCCUGGUGUAGCGGUGGAAUGCGCAGAUAUCAGGAGGAACACCGGUGGCGAAGGCGGGGUCUCUGGGCAGUAACUGACGCUGAGGAGCGAAAGCGUGGGGAGCGAACAGG
rnacentral:rRNA from 1 species